rnacentral:rRNA from 1 species
UACAGAGGGGGCAAGCGUUGUUCGGAAUUACUGGGCGUAAAGGGCGCGUAGGCGGCCUUCUAAGUCGAACGUGAAAUCCCCGGGCUCAACCCGGGGACUGCGUCCGAUGCUGGAAGGCUUGAAUCCGGGAGAGGGAUGCGGAAUUCCAGGUGUAGCGGUGAAAUGCGUAGAUAUCUGGAGGAACACCGGUGGCGAAGGCGGCAUCCUGGACCGGCAUUGACGCUGAGGCGCGAAAGCCAGGGGAGCAAACGGG